rnacentral:tRNA from 1 species
GAGGAUUUAGCUCAGUGGUAGAGCGCUUGCCUAGCAAAUGCAAGGCCCUGGGUUCGAUCCCCAGCUCC